GCCAAGAUGAAGAUCCAGAAGCUGAAUGGUGAGCUGGAGCCCAUCAACACCAAGAGAGAGGAGCUGACUAAGAAGAAGGAGCAGUCUGCUAAAGCCACAGGCGAGGCGGACAAGAGUCUAAAGACCUGUUAUACAGAGAAGGCUGAUGCGGAGAAAAAGAAGACUGAGGCGUCGGCGGCCCUUCAGAAAGUCAA